UGUGCGAAUAUAAAACCAACUUUACUUUUUCUUUCUGGUGUCAAACCGAAACCCUAGGAUCUGGAUUAUUUUUUUUAUUAUUAUUUAAUUGUGUUUAUGUGAAAAUGAGGUUUCCAAUAAUUUUGGUCUCGGUGUUAUUGUUUGUACUCAACCCAGCUGAAAUCAAUGGAGAUCACAGUUAUAUCUGUACAGAUGUUCAGUGUAAAGAUGGUGAUGAGAGAUUCAGAGACAGACUGAAGCUGGAUCAUCAGACUGGAUCUCUGACCAUCAUGAACAUCACAAACACAGACUCUGGAGAAUAUACACUAAAACACAUCAACAACUUCAUCAGAGAAAAGAUCUACAAUGUUACUGUCCGUGGUAUUUCUGAUGAUGAUAUUGUUGAUGUGUCAGUGACGGAGGGAGAUCCAGUCACACUAUACACUUAUGUUCACAAACAUGAACAAGAGGUUUUUAAAUGGUAUUUUAAUAAAACUCGCAUAGCUGAAAUCGAUGGAGAUCACAGUGACAACUGUACAGAUGUUCAGUGUAAAAAUGGUGAUGAGAGAUUCAGAGACAGACUGAAGCUGGAUCAUCAGACUGGAUCUCUGACCAUCAUGAACAUCACAAACACAGACUCUGGAGAAUAUACACUAAAACACAUCAACAACUUCAUCAGAGAAAAGAUCUACAAUGUUUCUGUCCGUGGUUUUCCUGAACCAGAUAAAAAGUCAGUGAAGGAGGGAGAAUCUCUCACUUUAGGUCCUGAUGAAAAAAGAAACCGAAGUGAUGAGAUGAGAUGGUAUUUUAAUGAUACUCUCAUCACUGAAAUCACUGGAGAUCAGAGUAAGAUCUGUACAGAUGUUCAGUGUGAUGAGAGAUUCAGAGACAGACUGAAGCUGGCCAAUCAGACUGGAUCUCUGACCAUCAUGAACACCAGAAUCACAGACUCUGGAGAAUAUAAACUGAAGAUCAGCAGCAUCAGUCCUCGUCGCAUCAACAGUGGCGUGAUUAAGAACAGCUUCAGAGUUACUGUUAUUCCAGAUUCAGGUCUGUCUUCAGGUGCUGUAGCAGGAAUAGUUGUUGCUGUUCUUGCUGUUCUGCUCGUUGCUGCUGCUGCUGUGAUUUUCUAUCACAAACAUCAAGAAAGAGGAGAAUACGGCAGGACGCAGCGCAGUGAUCCGGUGGAUCGGGAGGAUUCUGUGUAACACUAUCGAUGGGAUGUCCUCUAAUCAACUGAAGCUGUCAGUGAGAUGUCAAUAUAACAUCAUUUAAUACAUUGACACUUUCAUUGAAAGGGCAGUGAAGAGGCAGAGGAAAAUGAGAGAAAAACAUCAGCUGAAAUUCACAGAGAAAUAUUGUUAUGAUACCAACAUUUCAUUAUUCAGUAGCAAUACAAGUCAAAGUUUACCUCCAAACUAAUUUCAACACCACAACAACUAAUUUGAUAUUCAUUAUUACUCAUUUACAUUAUAAAUCAUGUUGCCUAAACAUUUUUAAAUUAUAUUAACAUUUCUUAAAGCUGCAGUAGGGAGUUUUUAGAAAACGUUGACUUAGCCUGAAAAUUUGAACAAGCACAACUCACAGGUCACUCCCCCUUGCUCUCUGCUGUGCUACAGCCCUCCCUCCACAGCUCCUCCCCCAUCACAUCGGAGCCUGCCGUGAACGCGCAGGCUAGUAAGCAAGCAGGGCCACCGAUGACGGCGGAUAAACAGUUAUGGCACAUUCACUGGUACAGAUGAAACAUCAACAAUAUGAUUUACAUUGACUAUGGCCUGCCCAUACUUUGACUACAAACUUGGUCCUCAAAACAUUACGUAACAUUGUAUGUUAUGCGGCUAGAGUUUUGACACUGAGUCAAUGGGCUCCGACGAGGAAUUCACACCCACAGCGACUUCAAGGAGUCAACGGGCGGGGAGAAGAGGAAGCCGUGGUUUUCAGGGAGCAUCAGGCAGGGGACGUGGGAGACGGGGCAGAGGUCGCCGAAUGGGUCCAAUUCCCGAGCACAUCAGCAGAGAGGACAUGGCGCGUGUGGAGAAUUUGAGAUUAGAGAGGAUUGCUUAUGAACGUGUAAUCAAGCAGGGAUACUUACUUGUCAAGCAGAAAUGUGGCUGACUCUGCAUCGGUUUUUAAUCCCUUCAGGACACGUAGCUCCCUCCACCUCGGAAAAGCCGAGGAUUGUUUGAUUGGAUUGUUUGUCCUGCAUGAGCAAAGCUGCGGCACACUGGUAAUCUUGAAUUUGAACGCCUGUAUGCGCUGGCGCUGUGCAUGAGAGAGGUGUGAUCAGCACGCACGCGAGCUUGAUUGACACUGCUAAGACACUCCUCCUGGCUCUGAUUGGUUGUUUCUUAACGGUAGCGGUGUAUUUCUGCAAAUGGCAAUAGGACCACUGGGAGGAGCCAGAGGAGCUUGAUUUUUUCACAGAUUAUCUGUCUCAUAUUCUACUGUCAGGACAUAAUGACAGGUUUAACAAAUAUGUAAAAAAUACAUUUUUCAAAAGUUACCUACUGCAGCUUUAAAGCAUAUCAGUAAUGAGGAAAAAUGAAGCGCUCUAUAAGCAAUAGUUCUAGACUUUUUCAGAGCAGAUGUUGGGAAACUGUUUUACAUGGAUUUGCGAAAGUGACUAAAAACAUAUUUUGCUGCCAGGCCAGUAAUUGGUGAUGGCAGUGGCGAGCGGUGAUUUUUUUUUUUAAACCAGUUAUGCUGGGUGGCACGUGAUGUCAAAAAUGCACCAGGUGGAACCGUGUUCGCUCAUGUUCGCUUUAGACAGUGUUAGCUUUUCAGUUCUUUACUCUCAUGACACAUAGUAACAAAACUAAAGUUCUUAAUGUUUGAACUUUUAUGGAAAGUAGCCUACAUUCACCUGUUGAUACCUUCACAAGCACCUGUAAAAGCAGUUUGCAAAAUGUUUUAUUUUUGUAAUUCAGUUUGGUGACACCAAUGUCACAGAAACUACAUGCUUAACUUUUAAGAGCAUCAUCUGAGGAGACACAUCAUUUUUAAAAAUAAGUAUUUAAGAAUUUAAAAAUAAGUAUAAUAUUAGUAAGCUAUUAUAAAGUAUUAGUAAAAUAAAUAAGUAUUAUAAAAAAUAAGUAUUCUUUAAAAAAAAAGUUGAAAUACAAAUUGAUGAUAGUUACAGUAGGUCUGUAUUUAACAAGUUGAUAUGUUUUUCAUUAAAAGUAAAAUUCCCUAUGUAUAUAUAUAUAUAUAUAUAUAUAUAUAUAUAUAUAUAUAUAUAUAUAUAUAUAAUGAAAAUAGUUUCACUCAUGACUUUGUUUUUUUUUUACUUGAUUUAGUCUAUUUAGUUUUGUAUCAAAUACAAUGUGAUUUUCGUUGAUCAAGAUCUGAAAGUAAAGCACAUUGUCCUUCUUGGCACUCUCUAGCACUGGAAUGGUUUUAUAUCUAUUUAAUGUGUAAACUAGCAAGGCAAAACACGUGAAAAUGAUAACCUUUCACUCAUGCGUGCCGAACCUUGGGGCUUGGUCAACAACGAUCCGUUUAACCACUACCGGAAUUAUUAUUAUUAUUUUGUGUUUUUGGUUUAUUUUUUUGUAUUUUUUAUGCUCCCUUUCUUCAUUGUCCUCAAUGUUGUUAGUACGUGUACUGUUACUCAUCUUCCAUCUUAAGGACCAUGUCACGAAGAUACUCCGUGACCAUGUGCGGACUAUGGGGCACGUUCCUUCAUUUCACAUGUACAUGCACACUUUUUACAUUUACACUGACCGGGGAUUUUGGGAAGAGAUAUGUUGGGGGCAAAAUAUCUGAAGUUGUGUAAAUAUAUAGUUAUUUGUGGUGGAUGUAUGUUGUCUGUAUUAUGGUAUCUUCCAUAGGUGGGGCCAGGAUGUUAAGAUGGCCACCGGAAAGGUUCAGUGAGGGGUGUGGUAAAUUGGCGUGAGCGUGGUCGGAGUACCGCCACUUUUUAUACUGUUUGGUGUCCUUUGUUUGUAUAAUUUAUUAUUUAUUUUUGGGUAACACUGCUUAUUUUUUUUUCUUUUUGCAUCUUGGGAUUUAUUUUUUUUGUGAAAUAAAUUUUUUGGGCGUCAAAUGGAAAUUCUGUUGUCUUUGUCACCUUAACCGCAAGGUUCAUCCACGACAGACCACAAUGGAAAUAUGCCUAUGGGCUUUUUGUGUUUUUAUCCUUUUGAACACUUCGUGUUGAUUGUUGUUGUUCAGUAAAUUAUUCAAUCAAUCAAUCACUCAAUCAAUUUAUAGUAAUUUAGUGUUCAAGUUAAUUAGCAAGUCCACAAGUCAUUUCAUUUAAAUGAGUGGCCAAAAUGCACAAAGUUUUAGUUUUUAGUUGAAAACAGUGUUGUGGAAACGGCCCCUUAUACUACAAAAAGGCAUAGAAUAGUGAAAAAGUAUUGUUUGUUUGAUGCUAAAUAUAUGAAUGAAAAGAAAGAUUGUUUGAAUUAUUCAAAUAUUCUAGUGUUUACAAAGAUACUCUUACCGUUUUAUUUUAUGAGAAAGAACAGUGGGAUUAAUAUAAUAUAUUCAUUUAUCAUAGCUGUUAUGACCCUGGUCUAUGGUCAGGGUGUAACAUUAAUAGAGGCUGUGAAAAUAAAUAUAACAAAUAUAUUAGAAUAAUUUCAGAGAACAUGUUGCUAUGGCUAUUUGCAUACACUGAAAGCUAUCUCAGUUUUUGUAUCCGAAAGUUCUAAAUCUGAGUAUGUCGCAUAUCCUGCUUUCUGGAAAACUCCACUGCGCUUCACAGUGAAGCAUGUACACAAAUAUCUAUUUUUUUUUUCAAGACAGCUGUGAGUCAAAUAAGUAUUCAGUUAUAGAAUUAAGUCUGUACUACUGAUACUGUAUGUUGUUACUGGUAUUGUUCCUGCUGGAAAAUACUGAUAUUAUUAUAUUGCUAAUGUGCCUAGGCCUUUUAACUAUUUUAACCAGCAAGGUGCCUUUUGUCAACCAUCUUCAUCAAGAAAAAAAGAAAAGGAAAAAAACAACAACUAUGAACUGUUGUAAAGUUGUUACUCUAGUGUUAAGCUAAUGAAAAUACUUAAUUGAUUGUCAGGAGAAAUGUUACAGCACGAUUUCCACACUAACUGAUGAAACACUAGUCAAACAUAACAUUUAGUCAAACAUGUUUGUGAACAAAACAUUUGUGAUAUUUAAGUGUUGAUUGUUUAUUUCUUUCAUUCACACCAUUUCUGAGAUGGAAGAUAAGAACCUUUGGGGUUUUAUGUUCAGACACAUUCUUUUAUUGUUGUUAUUAGUUUAUUGAUUUUGUCACUUUAUUGUUAGCAUUAGUAUUACUGUUAGUAUUAUCUUAAAAGUUUGGACUGUAUAUCCAUGCCUGCAUGUAUUAUCUUCCCUGCACAUAUUAAAAUGAUUAACCUAACUACA